GCGCCAGUGGCUCAAUUGGAUAGAGCGUCGGCCUCCGGAGCCGAAGGUUGGGGGUUCGAUUCCCCCCUGGCGCAC
rnacentral:tRNA from 2 species